CACUUCGUAUUGUUCGAAGUUGAGAGAGAAGGAGUCCGAGUCUCCGAGGUGGCGUUGGGUGGGGGCGCUACUAGCUCCCGUUCUCUCGGUGUCUCUAGAGGGAAGGGCGCCGGUGGGAGCAGGAGAGUCUGCACCGGGCAGGCCUCCUUAGGUGCCGGGUUGCGUGCAGGGCCCUGUGCUUGUCUCGCCUCCGGUUGGCUCAGGCCUCAGAGCAUGAGUGCGCCGGCAACUGCUGGGCCCGGGACAGUGAAGCAGAGAAGGUGGGGGAGGCGAGCCCAGGUCGGGGAAGGGCAGCCCCUGAAUCACCCUUGGGGCCCAGAGCCGCAAGAGUCUCCGGGGAGCCGAGGCCUGGCGAGGCAGUCCCGGGGUUCUCCCUCUCCCCGCCGGCCCGAUGGCGCACCACGUGCUGGGCAGAGACUUCGGCGAGGCCGAGUGGACCUUGCAGCGCUGCUUGGGAAAGGGCGCUUUGGACUACCUGGUGGGGGCGUUGUGCUUCGUUACCGACCGCCGGGACGCCAACCCACGGUGCCCACCCGUGCGUCAUUCCGCUGUGGAUCAGCCCUUUGGCGGCCCCCCUCCGAAGUCUGCAAGGUCACACGGAUGUCUGCAGGCAGAGGUGGGCUAGGAGCAUCCCAGGUGCUGCGAGGGUUUGAUUCAACCCCUUGCAGGUGGGCUAGGAGCAUCCCAGGUGCUGCGAGGGUUUAACUGGGCUCUUCUGCUGGCCCUGA
rnacentral:antisense_RNA from 1 species